AUUGAACGCUGGCGGCAGGCCUAACACAUGCAAGUCGAACGGUAACAGGGAUCAGCUUGCUGAUUCGCUGACGAGUGGCGGACGGGUGAGUAAUGUCUGGGAAACUGCCUGAUGGAGGGGGAUAACUACUGGAAACGGUAGCUAAUACCGCAUAACGUCGCAAGACCAAAGAGGGGGACCUUCGGGCCCCUUGCCAUCGGAUGUGCCCAGAUGGGAUUAGCUAGUAGGUGGGGUAACGGCUCACCUAGGCGACGAUCCCUAGCUGGUCUGAGAGGAUGACCAGCCACACUGGGACUGAGACACGGUCCAGACUCCUACGAGAGGCAGCAGUGGGGAAUAUUGCACAAGGGGCGCAAGCCUGAUGCAGCCAUGCCGCGUGUAUGAAGAAGGCCUUCGGGUUGUAAAGUACUUUCAGCGGGGAGGAAGGGAGUAAAGUUAAUACCUUUGCUCAUUGACGUUACCCGCAGAAGAAGCACCGGCUAACUCCGUG
rnacentral:rRNA from 1 species